GAGAUAUCAUCAUACACAUGCAAAAUUUAGUAUACUAGAAUUACAAGAGGUCAAUUACUACUAGAAUAUUUAGACCUCAUUUUGAUCCAUUGGCCAAAAAUUUGCAGGACUCUUCAACUAGAAUAUUUAGACUUCAUUUUGAUCCAUUGGCCAAUUACUACUAAACCAGAUGAAGUUAAAUAACCUACAGGAAGCAUAGCAACAUUAGUGAACCGGUUUGGUCCUUCGUUUAGACCUCGUUGAGAUUUUGAUCCUUUGUUUUUUUGAAACUCCCAAACAAAGGUUUACAUCUCCAUUUUUAAAGUCUUUCCUUCCCAUCCCCUCCCCUCCAAAACCCAACUCGCAAACAAAACCUUAGGGCUCUUGUUACUAGGAUCUCCAUUUUUCACAAAGUCUUCUUUAUGUGAGUUUUUUUUUUUUUCGCUCUUAAGUUUGAUUGCAUUGGCUGCUCCCUGGAAUUGGGUCUGGCAGGUUUGUUGGACUAAUUCUGCCACAAUAUCUAUUUAGCUAAUAUUUUAUACUAUUGGUAAUUAGUAAUUUGGAAGGAAAAUUUGGUGCUUGUAACUAGUUUUGAUAUCUAAACAUAACAUAGUAAUUAAAUUCAAAUACCAAACAGAGACAAUGAAUUCCACAGAGAACCACAACUAACACUGUCAAAAUACUGACCAUGUAUCCGAGAGAGAGACGUAUAAAAUGAUAUUCAAUUCAAUCAAUGGCACAUUAUCAAGUAAAACAAAAUAAGAACAAAACCUAGACUCACAAUCAUUACUAGCAGCAAACUAAUCUUGUAUAUGAUCAUGUUUUUAUUAGGAUUGAUGUAGGAUUUUUUUAAUCUAGAUUUAUUUCCUCAAUUAAGGGAUUCUUAGUGUACAAUUUUCAUUAUAAAUAGGGAAAAAUAUAACAACCUCCCUUGAGUUCUAUCUAAAUGCACCUAACAUCCCCUCCAUUUUCCCAAACAUCAAAACGAGGGAAACAGAGAGUGAAUACUUGAAGGUUGUGUUGAGCAAGGGAACCUAAUAAGCAACUCUAAAACCCCACUACAACUAAAAGAGUAAAAACCCACUACAGGGAUUGCAGAUUUCCCCAUUUCAAAAGCUCAAUAACCCACAACUAUUGAAAUGUCGCAUAAACACACAAAGUUGGGGUUUUUUUUUUUAUUUAAAAAAAAAACUUAUAUGUCAAAACGUAUAUGUCGCAUAAACACACAAAAAAAAUUGGGGUUUUUUUUUUUCUUUUGUCAAGCAAGAUGCUAUGAAUAAUCACAAACCCUAAAAAUUAAGAAAAGAAACAGAAAAACCCAACAAAGAGAGAAAAAUAAGGAUUCAGAUACGAUACCAUUAGAGAAGAUGAUAGAGGAGUUGAGAGAGAAAAGAAAGAUACCGAUUGGUGCAUCAAACGAUGGAAGUAGCGAUUGAUGAUGGAAGCAGCGAUUGGUGAUGGAAGCAGCGAUGGAAAGAAGAUGAUGAACAGUGAAGGGAAAUCGAUUUAUGCCAUGAGUGAGGAACCGAUUGAGUGAAGAUUUAGUUAGUGAGAUUGAGCCAUUAGGGUUAGUGAGAUUGAAAUUUAGGUUUCAGAUUUGGGGGGGGGAAAGUGAGAUUGAGGAAGUAUUUUCAUUUUAGGGUUUUGGAGAUGAUGGAGGGAGAUUGAAAUUGGGGAAAAGAGGUGGGAGGGAGAAGAAUGAAAUUGGUAAAGAGGGAGUGUGAAAACCGAUCCUUUCCUCUCCUUUUGACAGUUUUUAAUUUUCUUUUAUUUUACAAUAUCAUAUACAUAAUUUUUUAAUAUAAUAGUUAGAUAAUAAAUGAUAUAAAAAAUACAUUAGAUAGAUAACUAAUAUGAUAAAAUCAUUAUAUUAAACAUAAAUAUUUCAUUAUUAUGAUAAAAUAAUUACAUUAAAAACAUCAUGUGUUUUAUGAAGGGUUAUUCAUCAUCGUCAUAAUAAAAAUCAUCCACUUUGUUGUCAGGGUUAUUUGCAUCUUCCCCACUGUCUCUAGAGUUACUUGACUCCUCCCCACUAUCAGUGUCAAUAAGUAACAUUUGAGCUAACGUUUCAGCAUCAAGUUGUUGACCGUCAACAUCUCUGUCAACCAAAUUUGUAACAGGAUCGACUUCAAUCACAUCUGGAACAUGUGAUAUUUCAUCAUCUUGGUAAGGUAUUUCUUUAUCUAGAACUUCUGUCUCAAAUUGACCUCUUGGUUUACACUUGAUAGCAGCACACCAUCCAUGUUUGCGCCGGUGAUGAGAAGGAUAGGGUACAUAAUACACUUGACUAACUUUACUUGCCAAAAUGAAAGGGUCAAAUGCAUUAUACAUCCGGUUCAUUCGUACAUCAACAGUUUUAUGCUUUGGAUCAAUUUUCAUCCCAUUUGCAGGGUCAAACCAGUCACAAUAAAACAAUACAACUUUGUUAGGU
rnacentral:lncRNA from 1 species